CAGUAGCCACGGUAAUACGAGGGGGGCAAGCGUUGUUCGGAAUUAUUGGGCGUAAAGGGCGCGUAGGCGGUUUGACAUGUCUUAUGUGAAAUCUUCGGGCUCAACUCGAAGUCUGCAUGGGAAACUGUCGGGCUUGAGUAUGGGAGAGGUGAGUGGAAUUUCCGGUGUAGCGGUGAAAUGCGUAGAUAUCGGAAGGAACACCUGUGGCGAAAGCGGCUCACUGGGCCAUAACUGACGCUGAGGCGCGAAAGCUAGGGGAGCAAACAGGAUUAGAUACCCCGGUAGUCCCUGUCUCUUAUAC
rnacentral:rRNA from 1 species